AACGAACGCUGGCGGCAUGCCUAACACAUGCAAGUCGAACGAGACCUUCGGGUCUAGUUGCGCACGGGUGCGUAACGCGUGGGAACCUGCCCUUAUGUUCGGAAUAACUCCCCGAAAGGGGUGCUAAUACCGGAUAAUGUCUUCUGACCAAAGAUUUAUCGCCUUGGGAUGGGCCCGCGUUGGAUUAGCUAGUUGGUAGGGUAAAAGCCUACCAAGGCUACGAUCCAUAGCUGGUCUGAGAGGAAGAUCAGCCACACUGGGACUGAGACACGGCCCAGACUCCUACGGGAGGCAGCAGUGCGGAAUAUUGGACAAUGGGCGAAAGCCUGAUCCAGCAAUGCCGCGUGAGUGAUGAAGGCCUUAGAGUUGUAAAGCUCUUUUACCCGGGAUGAUAAUGACAGUACCGGGAGAAUAAGCUCCGGCUAACUCCGUG
rnacentral:rRNA from 1 species